rnacentral:rRNA from 1 species
CCUACGGGAGGCAGCAGUGAGGAAUAUUGGUCAAUGGGCGAGAGCCUGAACCAGCCAAGUCGCGUGAGGGAGUACUGCCCUAUGGGUUGUAAACCUCUUUUGUCGGGGAGCAAAAGCCGGACGUGUCCGGCUGUGAGAGUACCCGCAGAAAAAGCAUCGGCUAACUCCGUGCCAGCAGCCGCGGUAAUACGGAGGAUGCGAGCGUUAUCCGGAUUUAUUGGGGUUAAAGGGUGCGCAGGCGGAUUUUUAAGUCAGCGGUCAAAUCGUGGGGCUCAACCCCAUCCAGCCGUUGAAACUGGGGAUCUAGAGUGUGCGAGAGGUAGGCGGAAUGCGUGGUGUAGCGGUGAAAUGCAUAGAUAUCACGCAGAACCCCGAUUGCGAAGGCAGCAUACCGGUGCACAACUGACGCUCAGGCACGAAAGCGUGGGUAUCGAACAGGAUUAGAUACCCGAGUAGUC